rnacentral:rRNA from 1 species
UCAUCGAAUCUUUGAACGCACAUUGCGCCCUUUGGUAUUCCUUAGGGCAUGCCUGUUCGAGCGUCAUUUAAACCCUCAAGCUCCGCUUGGUGUUGGGUGUCUGUCCUGCCCCCCGGGGCCGGGACUCGCCUUGAAAUCAUUGGCGGCUAGUACAUUGGCUUCGAGCGCAAGCAGAAACGCGAACCUCGGGUCCCGGUGUAUUGGCUCCCAUAAGCUACCCCUUCUAUUUUGACCUCGGACCAGGUAGGGAUACCCGCUGAACUUAAGCAUAUCAAUAAGCGGAGGAAAAGAAACCAACAGGGAUUGCCCUAGUAACGGCGAGUGAAGCGGCAAGAGCUCAAAUUUGAAAUCUGGUCCUUUUAGGGCCCGAGUUGUAAUUUGUAGAGGGUGCUUUGGCGUUGGCUGUGGUCUAAGUUCCUUGGAACAGGACGUCGCAGAGGGUGAGAAUCCCGUAUGUGGCCGCCAGCCUCCGCCGUGUAAAGCCCCUUCGACGAGUCGAGUUGUUUGGGAAUGCAGCUCUAAAUGGGAGGUAAAUUUCUUCUAAAGCUAAAUAUUGGCCAGAGACCGAUAGCGCACAAGUAGAGUGAUCGAAAGAUGAAAAGCACUUUGGAAAGAGAGUCAAAAAGCACGUGAAAUUGUUAAAAGGGAAGCGCUUGCAGCCAGACUUGCCUGUAGUUGCUCAUCCGGGCUCUUGCCCGGUGCACUCUUCUAUGGGCAGGCCAGCAUCAGUCCGGGCGGUUGGAUAAAUGCCUGCUAAAUGUACCUCUCCUCGGGGAGGACUUAUAGGGUAGGCGGCA